CUAUUUUUGCAGUUCAUAAAAAAAAAAAAACGAUCUCAUGAUCAUCAAAACGGACCCAGAAUUUUUAAUUAUAAGAGACGAAUGUGCUUAUGAAACAUAACAUUAACUUCAAUCUUGGUACCAAACUUAUAUAAUUUAUCAAUCUAGAAAAUAAAUACUACUAUAAAACUGAAUUGGUUUUCAAAAUUUUUUGGGGCGGGGAUGCACCAUCCUCUUAAAUCCAUCCUUGCAUACCACCAAUAUCAAAAGGAUUUCAGCAGACAAGGAAAACACUAUAUUAAAAGUCACUAAUCUUCAGAAUUACACCGUUUACCCGACCCCUGACAUUAUAGACUUUUACAUGAACAUUAUUCGUAUUUUACGGCGUGUAUGCUUGUAUUUUAUUAUUAUGAGAGUAAAAAUUUUGAGUAAAAGUGAUUAUGGGAAAUUUAGCUAUUGAAGAUAAAAAUCGGAGUGCAAACUAGAUCCAUUUUGAUAAAAUUACCCUAAAUACCCCGGCCAUGUAAUUAAAAAAUUUGUAGUAAUUUGUUGGAAGGGGUAAAUUUUGGUAUUUUCACCUAUUGAAACAAAAAGAAAAUGCGAUUAGAAAGAGGGAGUCUGAAAAAUAUGUUUCAUUUUCACCCCACCAAAAAGUAACUAUAAAAUUCUCUAUCUACCCCACUCUACAAGAAUUACAAACUCUCUCUCAUCUCUCUCCCCCUUCGACUCCUCCCCUCUCAAUCGCUCCAAAACUACUCCCGGCGAUCUCUCUCUCUCUCCUUGAACCUGAACCCCAUCACGAUGUGGGCUUCCAUGGCGAUUUGGUUCACACUACAUCCCCACUGUUUCUUUCGGCAUCGUCAACUCAUCAUCGGCACGUAUCUUCCUACUUCAAACCUCAUAACCCACAAAAACACCAUCAAAAUACAGCAAGGUGAUCACGACCCUACCCGCCGGUCGGGUCCUGCCUUUUUUAGACCGGGUCAACACACUCAUCAAUCUCCAAAACUCACGAUAAUCACCUACAACUACAAGAGGGUGAUCACAACGACCCGAAUUUCUUCGAUCCAACCUCUUUAUUGAUCGGGUCAAGUCCUUUCCGAUUCUCUCUCAACUCACUAUAAUCACCAACUAACCAACUACAAAUACAAGAGGUGAAACCAAUCCGCCGAUUCGUUCGAAGUCAUCCUUUUUGAUCAAUUCAAGUCCUUAGAUUGUCUCCUAAAACCCACCCUAAAAAACUACCGCCACGCUGGUGAACAAGAUCUGACCCGAAUGGUUUCGUACCCAACUCUCUUGGGACCGUCAAAUCCUUAGAUUCCCUCCCAGAACCCCCAAAAAUGAUCACCUCCAACAAGCAGAUGGUGAAACAGUCCACCCGCCUUGAUGAUGCAGAUAGCAAGGCUAAGUUACUGGAGACCCUGGGCCGUCGUUAUGCCCGUGUGCCAUAAACUUUCUCAAUUAUUUGACCGCGUCUGUGUCGAGGAAGGGUUGAACGUUUUAUGUAAUUCACAUGAGUUUGUGACAUGUAGCUAUUUAAUGUAAUUCGGGGAAUGGGACAAAUCAAUCACAAGCCUAUGAAAAAUAGAUUCAAGAUAUUCAUACAACCUAUGCUAAUGGUGUCUUGAUGUUAUUUAUCAAAAGGUGAAAACCGAUCCUAAGGAUGUUCAAGACAAAAGAAGUGUACUGAAGAUACUGAGAAUCCAAAGUGUUGGGCAACCACCUCGUUGGACUGUCGUUGGAUCCCGCGGGAGGAUGUAGUUCGAAAGCUUUCACGGGAUCAAUUAACGACUCAUCAGAGAAGUCGAGAGUUUGCAUUUGGAUCCCCAAAGCUAUGCGCGGGAUGUGCCUCGCUGGCGUCCCCGGAUAGCGCUGUAUUCUCGUGAACUGUCGCGGAGUUGGAUGAGACCUCAUAUAGGAAGUCGAGAGCUUGAGUUGCCAACGAGAAUUCACGGAUCCAUCGCUGGAUAGUCACGGGAGCGACAGAUGUCGCGGGAUCCUUGCUGGAGAGACCUGCGGCAACUGGGCAGUGCCGUGAUCUGCGAUUUUUAGGUUUUCCAACCACUAUAAAAAAGGGUAAGACACGUCGAAAUAAGGCUCUGAGCUGCCGUCAUUUCAAUACCCUAGAGAGUAGAAGUCUUCUCUAUCGACCAAGAGUCAGAAAAGAUUCUUGCACAAAACUUCACCACCAAUUGAAAAAAUCCAAAUCUUUGAGAGUUCAAGGUGUGAAAUCUGUUUUAAGGGAUCUGAAUGGUAAUCAAGCACGGAGAUGGUGAAUCGUGGACAUGAACUAAAUCUUAUCACUCUUAGAUCAAGGGAGUGAUAUAUUUUGAUUAUAAGAGUCUUGUAAUCGUCUGAAACUUUUGUGAUAGUGCAUGAAUUUGGUCAGCGAAGUGAACACGUGGUUUUUUUUCCCAUUCAAGGGUUUUCACGUAAAAAAUUUUCGCUCUGUUGCAAUUUCAUUGAUUGGCUUCUAUUUUUAAUUUUUGGAUUCUACAAAUAUUGCUCAAAACUGUGUUAAUAAUUUAAAUAUUGUUAGUAGUCAUUUAAUCUCUUGAUAAAAAUAUAAUCAAGACUAUAUUUUUUUUAAGGGUAAAGACGGGAGGGAGGGAGAGAGAGGAGUUAGUCUGGGGUCACCAGAGAGGACCCUAGCCGGAGAGUUAAUGCCUGAGAUGGUUCUCUUUGUUAACGAUGAUAAUAGAGGUAAAGAAAAAGAUUGAUAUGUAUAUGAAGAUAGGGGAGGGAGGAGAUUAUUGUAAUUUCAGCUCUUGAUUUCAAGUGGUUAGAAUGAAAUGUCUAAAACUUGUGUCAAAAAACUUGAUCUCCGAUCCAGCCAUAUAUAUAUAUGUAUGACUUUGUAGUUUGUGGUGUGGAUUUGUUUAGUUUAGUUUUUGUUUUUGUUUUCAAAUUUUAGGGCUUUUGGCUGGGCUUCCAGCUUGGACCUCUAACCAGGCCUUACCAUAACAAAUGGGCGGGAUCAGGAUGGGCUGGGCGGGACUGGUCGUGAGCGGCCAGUGUUGCAGGCCGUUGGUUUACACCACUAUCGUUAUGGAAUUGGGGCGUUGCAUAUUUUUAUUGACAAAUUUAAUAUUAUAUAAUUAAUUAAAGGAGAUAUGUAUUACAAGAAUUUAGAACAAAAAAUUGAUCUUAUUUAGGGAUGCGGGCGGAUUUUUCAAACCCGCAAAGCAACGGGUCAUUAGGUUUUGAAUUAUUUGGCCCAUAUCAGGACGGGCAGUUCUCGAAUUAUAUCCCGGCCCGAACCCGACCCGUAUAAUAUUAAUUAUUAAUAUAUUUAUUAUAUUAAUUAUAAUAAUUUAAAACUAUACCCUUAUUUUAAAAUACACACUCAUUCUUGAUUACUCUUUCAAAUUUUGGGUUUUGCUGAUCGGGGCGGAGUGGGAAUACCCAAUCGAGUAGCGGGGCAGGUUCGGGGCAUGGAAUAUAAAGUGUGAGUCGGAUUUGAGUUUUGAAAAAACCCGCAAAAAAUCCGAUCGCUACCCAUCCCUAAUCUUAUUGCCUUCAUAGUUUAAACAAAAUCAAGUAUACUAAUAAAAAAUCAAAACAAGGUCAAACCAUUAUACAUGAAAACAAAAUGAACCAGUCACACAGAGUGAUUAUUUAUGCAUUACUCUCUCGCAUCUUUACCACAAAUUUAUGGAAUAAGCAAGCCUUUAAUGUUGUUUGGGCUAAAUUUAUUAGCUGAGCAGUUAGAUUUUUUUAAGCAAAAAUCAAAAUAUUAUGGUUUGUUUGGUUUAAAUUUCAAAAUAAUUUAACUGGUUUGUUUUUUAAAAAAAAAAAAAAACACAACAAAAAAAACAAAAAAAAAACACAAAGUGAUGUUUUUUGUCUCACUUUUCACAUUUUAAAACCAAAAGUUAGAAAAAUCUUGCUUUGUUGCUCUAACUUAUUUUUGAGUUCUUAGUUCCAAUUAAAUUUAGUUUUUUUCGUUCUUGAUGAACAUUUUUAAACGUGUGAUCAAAAUAAAAUAAAAUCAAAAAAUUAUAAACUUUUAGUUCAAAACCAAUUAAAAAAAUCUUCAUUAAAUAAAAAUAAAAAAAUUCAAAACAAAACAGUUAAACAAACUCAAAAUAAAACUAACACGUCCACGUAUCAAUCGAGAGUCUCGGAGACUUGAGGGAUUAUGGGUCCUAAGAAAGACCCUCCGUUUUUAAAUUGCUUGAGGGUCCAGUGUAAGGUAGCUGAAGAUGACCUAAAUUUAGUUAUUUUAGUUGUUGCGUUUGUUUGUUUUUAAAAAUUUUUUUUUAUAUUAAUUAAAAAUUUCUUAUAUGGUUGAAUUUUAAUAAAAAAAUAUUUUUUUAAAAAAAUUUAUAAUAAAGACAAAAUAGCUUAUCUGUCGAGUAAAAAUGAAAUUUUUGUCUUAGAUCAUUGUUUUAUUUUUAAAAAACAACAAAAAAUUGAAAACUAAAUAAUUAAACUAACCUCCCACUUUAAACGUUCCAAAAAGGGGCUGCUAACAAAAGACUUUUCUGGUUCACGUCUCAAUUCUAUGAAAGAGAGAAUUUGUCUUUAUGUUAGAAGCAUUUUUUUCCCAAGAAGCACUUUUUUUCCCACCACGUUUCAAUAUCCAUUAUCACAUUCAACUGUUGACUAUUAUUUUAAUAGACUAAUACUGGUGAAAGGAAAAUAUAUACAAAAUCAAUAAAUUUAUACGGGGAAAAUAAUAUAUUCCUUACAAAACAAUUCAUAUAUAAAAUAUAAGAUGAUACGGCAAUGAUAUUGUGAUUAGAUAAAAACUCACUUAAUGGGUUUUUGUUUAAACAAUUAAAAAACUCCGUCACCUCAUGCUUACUAAUGUGGUCAGCAUGUGAUUAAAAUUAUGAAACUUGAAAUGAGAUCCAUCAUAACGAUGUUUGUAACAAGAACAUUCAUCUGAAUAAAAAAAAAAAGUAGUGUAAUAAAACUGUUAGUUUGUCUACAUAGUAGUUAUAGCAUGAUGUUUAACAUUGUCUUGAGUUAUAUUUAGAAGUUCACUUAUUUAGAUUAUUUACUUAAAACCUAAUUGAGCCAAUGAUAUGUUCCCAUUUUUCAUCCAGGUCCAGAGAACGCAAGAAGCGACGGGAGGCAGUAUGGAUACAAAGGAGCACGGUCAAUACUGGGAUAGAUGACACUAAAGGGUAAUUUUGGAAUAUCAAAAUAUACGCGCACCCCCCACCCACACAUUCCGAAAAACUUAAACCAAAACACCCAAAACCAGUUUUCCCUUAUAUAAGAUUAUAUUUUACAUCUUAUGCACAAAAGAUAUUAGCAGGUUCUAAUGGAUUUAAGGGAGAGGAGGUUUGUGGGGCAAAAGUUUUCAGGGUUGAAAGUGAGAGUGAGAGUGAUAGAGGAGAGAGAGCGGACCUUAUGAAGCAUCACUAAAUGGAAAUGUUGAGUCCUUGAACGAGUUAUUGCAACAAGACAGACUCACCUAGCUCGAGUCUCAUCACUUGUUCAAUGAACUCCUUUACACAUAGCUGUCAUGCAAGGCCAUGUGGACUUUGCCCCAAAGCCCACUGAGUUUUUUCCCACAAGCCAAACCGGGUCACCGAGUUAGACUCACACGGUCGAUCGCAUCUCCACUUGGCCUCUGCAAACGGGUACGUCAAGAUCGUGAAUGAAGUUGUGUUGGCGGAAGACAUACUAGUGCUGUGCAAUAGGAGACAAGACGGGAGGACUCAUCAUUAGCGCGAUGAUAAAGGCCGACGUGAGAUCGUGGACGAGUUGGCUGAGGCAAAACGAGAAGUAGUGAGGGACUCUGUCGUGUUGGGACGAGGCGAGACUGUUUUACCUUGUGUGUGGUGUAUAAAACCGUUGGAAGCUUUGUGAAGGGUUGGUGGGGGGUAUGAACACAAGGCGGCUUGUUUAAUGGAAGAGAUGAUGACGGCAACACCAUUUUGCCACAUUGCUACCAUGCUAGCAAGUGGAGGGGUAAAAGCAUUAUAUAAACAAUUUUUUCAACUGAUGUGGUGAUUGUGUUUUGAUAAAAAAGUAUUUGCUUGGUGCUGGUUUUAAAGUGAUGAAAACGUCCUACAUUUAACCCUAUUAUUCUAUACCAAAUUUUAAAUCUUUUUUUUUUUGUAUAUCUGAUUUAAAUUGAUUAAAUCUUAGAUAAUAGUUUCAUACAUAGGCCUGAUCUGUAAAUUGGGGGGGAGUUCACCGCCUUGGUCCAUUCCUGCAAAAAUUGGGCCGGCCUCCCAAUUUUUUUUUUUUUUUGAAGGCAAUUGUAUUGAAUUUGAAAAAGAACAAGUGUAAUAAGUUUAGCAGGGACGUUAAAAUCCCCCAAAAUCAAGAAAAUAUAUUCGUUUAAUUUUGACAUCCCAGGAAAGGGGUGGAGGACGGUCCCCAUACCCACGGAACAAGUACCCCUUUUAUUGAUUUAUGCAGACUGGAAAUACCUACCUCAGAACAACUGGCAAUGAAGUCAAACGAAGUGAAUGGAAAUAGUAUCACGAGGGGGACUCAUCACACAUGCCCGGAGAGAGUUUGAAAUCGUGUAGAUCCAUGAAUUGCUUGUGACAGCUGGAGGGCAAUGAGGCCAAAAGAAAAAUGCAUCGAUGACGACGGCAGCAACAACAACAGAGCAAUGCCUACACACUAGCAACCCCAACCCCAUCAGUUACACAGAGGCCCAUAAUCGGCACAACCGCCACAAGAGCAAUCACAACCUCUUGAAGCACUUGAAUCGCAUGACCACUUUUUGAACAGAAAACAGCCAUUCCUUAAUGGUGGGAGCAACAUUAAUCGCGGCAUGGCUUUUCAAGCUGUGCUAGCCCACCUGGCGGUCUUUUUGCAACAGGAUUUUGAAGAACAAGAACGCUGGAAAAUUAUUAUGUGGGGUUUACCAGAGCCAUUUUUAUACAAAUCCUUUUGGAUCCUCAAACACACUGUCGUUGUUGCUUUCUUUUAGCUAGACGGUGUACUGUACGUGGGUUUUACCAACGAAGAGAAAAGAGUUGUCUUGUUGGAUUCAACCGCCGACAAUGUGGUGACAAUAACAUCUACGACAUUCGCAUAUCUUUAGCAUUGAAUAUCAUCUCGCCUUCAUAAAGGGGAUGAGAACAGUUUUAAAUUCAUCGUUGUAGUCCAUGGAUGGGGUGUCCUUGGUAUCGUUUUUUAGCCAACACUAUUUGCCGUUUGUCAUCUGGAUCAGUAGGAAGGUCGGAAUGGCCAGAAAACAUUCUCAGGCCAAUGUCUCAUGAUCAAGAUCAGGCUCAGGAUCAAGGGAAAAAGGGAGGGUCGUUCUUUUCAAGUGGGAAGCAUAAGAACACUGUUGACUCGUAGUAUGACAAGGAGUCAAUUGUAAGAUAUAUACUACUUUUAAGAUAUUUAAGUUUCGUUUGUUAAUUGGAAUUGGUUUUAAAUAUUUAGAUGAGUAGUUCGUUCGUAUAAUGGGUUGUAACUAUUUGAUCUGGUAUUAAUCCUACGAGUUUUUGGGUAUUUUAAUAUUACUUUGUGUCUUCACUUCUAUCACAUAUAGUUACACCUACCACCAUUUUGUCUGAAAAUCAGCACGUUACCAUUAAUUUCAUUCAUCCAUACGAGAUGGAAACCAAACAUUGUUAAGUGCAAUUAACAGUGGCCGCUUUUGGCGGCCUAAGAAACCGGUCAGGUUCUGUGACACCUGUUGGGAUCAAGACAACUAACAUCCAUCAUAAAUUAAAGAAUUUCCAUAAAGAUACAAAAUGGAGUGAUAUGGGUCAAAGUUUUGAUCUUCGCACUCCCUUAAACUAUUAGAACUCUGUCGAAUUUAUACGCAUAAAGAAAUUACUCUUAUACACUUCUCGAAAGACAUACGUACAAGCCAGUAGCAGGGAGAAACAAUUCAGCAGACAUUAAUGAUUAUUUCAACAAUGCCUCCGCUUAGUUUCUUCUAAGAUUCCGUCCGAUAAACAAACUCAAAGUCAACAAGCCGAUAGAAGGGGGAUGAACUGGAGCUGACAGGAUGGGGGGGGGGGAUACAAAAUGUAGGUUUAGCUCCCUUGUUUGAGUCCUCCAGUUCUAUCCAUGGGGGCCAAGGCACGAACACCGGUCCUUUCCUCAUUCUCAACCACGGUGGGAGAAAGAUUGGAUGACUUUAUAUAGGAUGGGGGGAAACACUUCAGUUAUGUUUUGUUUUUGGGUGAAAACAACAGCAGGAGCAUAUAUCCCACGUAUCCUGGAUACGACUACCUCAAGAAGUACCUGGGGUACCAAACCAUUCAUUUGAAUUCGAACCAGGUAGUCCAGGGGGUAUAAGAAUGACAAAGAUGUCAAUAACAUUAACAUGUUGCGCACUAAGCCCCCUUUAGCUGACUAGCGUAAGAUUUGUUGCUUAAAAACGGAGUUAAGUGCAAAAAAGGAAACCAAGAAAGCAUUAUGUUAAGUUUCUAACUGGUGAAUUAUGGGGCUCUUUGGGAUUGUAGGGUGGAUUCUAGGUUGAAUUUUCGCGAUAUUUGCUUUGGAGGCGAGGCGACUGGAACUGCAUUUACCAACAGAAGAAAGGGUUUUCAAGUAUAAUUCCAACAGGGGGAUAUUCUCCCAGAGUUUAAUUAGUCUACAUGCCAACCAGGAGAAACUGAUGGCGGUACUCCUGGCAUAGGGUUGCCCGGAUGUGGUGGAUUUUUUUGUAGUUUCUUCGGUACUGAAUGCAUUUUUUCCUAUAUACAUAUUAGCUAGUAUAGUCCGAAAUCUUAAACAAAAGAGAAGCUACUUCAAAACGAAAACCUUCUCGUCAGGACCUGGCCUUCCCGGAUUUGUUGAGACUGUUAGAAGUUUUUGUUUUUGAGAGUGUGUUUGUGACACACUUUGGGACUAAAUGUGUAUUAAGUUCCGUACACUAAAUUAUGAACAAUGAUAGAUUCAUGUGCUCCUCAAUGAGUAGAGAUGAAGGGAGUGGAGGAGUUGUCAAACUAAGUUAAUUGAAGAAAUUAAAAUUUCUCAAAGAAGCUUCAAUCAAAGGGAAAAUGGGGAUAACAAAGUUGUCCCACAUUGGAAAAAGAAAGGAAAGUUAGUGGACAUAUAAGCCCAAGUAUUGACUAGUUAAAGGGGCCCGUGGGCACCACACGUUUUUAAGGGGAGGAGUUUAUGUCUAAAGUGUGCCUGAUCCAUUAGCUAUGGGCUUUAUGGAUUUGACCACGGUUGCGUCUGCGCCACAGCCUCCCUCCCGACCCCGUUCGGGCUUUGUGCUUGGGCUUAAUUGAAGAAUAUUAAUUUUUUUGAGAAAAAUUUAUUCAAUUAUUUAAUUUUUUUAAAUUAAGAAAUUACGGGUGCGGCCCAGAACUAACUUCCUUUUGCGAACGUUCACACCGUUUCGGAUUUAAACAAAACGGUUAGUACGAAGUCCUGCAAAAGUUUUCCUUUAAUCCGCGAACAGGGUGCACAACCUUUCAAUUGUGCAGAAAGAUCCCUGUGCACGCGUUCGGCCGAAUAGGUUCUAAAUUUGGGCCGAAGGGGUGCCUUUCCAAAGAGAUGUGACUCUUUAGAAAGGUGUGUUAGCUUCUAUAAAUACCGGCAUCAUCUCCAAGCAUUUUCAUUCAUUGAAAUCCAUAAGGAGCCGAAUUAGGAGAGUGCUAGAGCAUCCAGCAUCUCUUAGUUUUCAUUUGAGAGAGAGAAGACACUUGAGGUUCGACGUGAUCUUUGAUGGAGAUACUACUAUCAGAAGAUUGUUGCGUUGUAUCCUGGGAGUCGUACAACAUAUUCCGUAAGUACCCGAGUGAGGGUUGAAAAAAAACGACUUAAGGACACUGAAUUUAAUUCAGCCUCGCCAAAUUCAAAUUCUGCACCUAAAGUGUGUUCUUGAAUUUCUUUAUUUGUUCUUCUUCUUCUAUUUACAGAUUCAAAACUUUUUGUUUUAAUCAAAAAGAAACUACAUUUCUCCACAAGAACUUGGUGGCAAACUGGAUGGAUAGUUGGUGGGUUUUGUGGAGAUUUGCUUGGAGGCGUGAACUGGUACUGCCAAAUUGAAACAAAAACAGGCUUUAAGCAACAAUUUCAACCAGAAACGUAAUAUGCUCGAAUAACACACAAUCAAGCGGUAAACCUGAACCAAUUGGCGCAGAUAUGGGAUUCUUAUUUUUUGGUCAUUCUUUGGGGAACACUUGGUGGCUGGGGGACAGGGACGGUGCAGUCCAUGAACAGGUAAGAGAGGAGGAACGAAAGUGUAUGGUGGAGAUACUAUAGGAGGGACUUGGUGGCAAGGAUGGUCAAAGCCCUUUGAUAUGUUCCAGGUACAGGCAGUGACACGAGGGGUGCUAAGAAAGGUGGAGGUGGUAUAAAACCGACCCCUACAUUUGCCAAAUAAAAGUUAGCGAAAGUUAUUAAGGCGAUUCGGCAGGUCCACAUUCCCGAUUAUUAUGGAAUCUUACUGUUUGGCUGAGAUUGAGGGACUAACGUGCAUUGAUUGGUUUUUGCCAUGUGUGACAUUUCUAGGGUGGGGGUCCUUCUAUGGUUGGAAAGAAUUGCAGACGACGUGCGGAUGGGGAAAUGUUAUAACCUGUCAGCAACCACCAAUGUUAAUGUUCUAGAAAGAUAACGACUGUUUGGAACAUAAAAAUUCAAUAUCAGUAUAUUUAGUAGACAAAUAUGAAAACCAGUCUAUUAAACUGUAAUUCGAAACUAAAAAUCAUCAAACUGAAAAGUAAAAAGACCACCAGAGUUACAUAAAUGAUUACUUGUUUCUACCACGCAUUCAUUGGGGAGAAUAAAAAUGAUCAUCAACCUUACAAACAGAAUCCACCUUGUUCAAGAUUUGGAAAACACAAGAUGACAUAUCAAAUCACAUCUCCACACUUUCUUUAAAUUACGGCUCGGUGUGUGAAUUGCCCAACAAUUACAUAGCUCAGAUGAAGUCUCCACAAAAAGCAUUUGUAUCAUAAAAUGCCUCAAUGAAAAGAAUUGCAGAUAAGUUGGCGUUAUAGUUAAUGAAACCCCCCAAAGAACAGUUCUCCUUAAUUUGUUCCUCUUCAAUUGUUGGAAAGUAAAAACUUGAAAGGCAACCAGCAUCAAAAAACUUAUAUUGUGAACAUAACUGUAAACACAAAUGAAAAAGAUGCCGUGUUCCAAAUCCAUCAAUCCUAAAAGAUUCAAAAACAACAACAUUAGGAAUCAAUCCAAACAGAAUUAAUAAAGCAGGUAUCACUAACCCCACAUUGCCAAGACCGCGAAUUUGAUUUACCCAUAUCUCAAAUUGUUGUCCCAAGACAAACAAAAAACCAAGAACAAGGAAAUAGAAAAAAAAGGAAAAGAGAGAAACAUCAUAACCCCACAUGAAAUUGAAAACAAUACCCAAUGGGUUAUUCUUACACAAUCAAAACAUAGAAAAAAACCCGUUGAAAAUUAAACAAUUACCUUCAGAUUUCAUGAACAACCAAAGCAAUUCAAAUCCAUAAACACGGCAGGAGCCAAACCCAUCUCAUUAACAAUCCAAAAUCUCAAUUCUCCUCUCAAUCCCCACCUCUCAGUGAUGAAGAGAGAAUCAAACAGAGAAAAUAACUGAAAAAAACUCAAUUAAUUAAUCAAUUGAUGGAAAUUGAUGCAGACGGAACCUGGGAGCCGAUACCACUGAGCAGCGCAAACCGCGUGAAUAAAUAAGAAAAAUAAACAGAAAAGAUAAACGACCUCCAAAUCCGUGUAUUAUGGAAUGCCGGAAAAUGACAUCAUUCUCUAAUCGUUGAUUUCACAAGAAUAACGGGAAAAAGGCUUUCUAAACCCGUUGAUUCCACAGAAUACCGGGAGAAAAUAACGGAAUCAAAAACUUUGUUGAUUCCGAAGAAUGCCAAAAAUUUGAAAGAAGAGAAAAAAGAGAAUCUCUUUUUAAUCACUCAAUUGUUUUUAUUCAUCAAAACUCUCCUUAAAAAUAAAAUUACAUGCUAUUGAUAAUAGAAAGGAACUAGAAUUUUAAACUUACUAAAAUUCUAAAUCAACUAGACUAGCAAAAUAAAAUACGAAUUAAUAUAAAAAAUCAUAAUUAAAAAGGAAAAAAUUAGAAUCCUAAUACUAAAAGGAAUUAUUAAUACAUUACCAUAAUUAAUAAAUAAUUAAUAAAUGUAAUUUCUGCAUCAUUCGUCUCCGCUGAAAAAAAAAAAAUCGUCCUCGAGUUUUCAUUACUUUCAAAUUAAUUUGAUGCGGUCUGCACUGUCUGCGGCCAUCGUGUAUUUUAGAUUAAUUUUUUAAAUCUGAACAAACAAGACGUGUUGGCCAAUGAGCCAAAAAAAAAAAGACAGACACAAAUCUCUGCUCCAACAUGUAGUCUUCUCAUUGGAAACUAGACAAGGAUUUCUUCUUUGAUGGACUUGCAUAAAUUCUUCAAUGGGUUCUCGGUCAAAAACUGGGCAGCUUGAUUCCAAUCCCCAUAUGGAUCUGGAAUAAUAUUUGACUGUGAAUGGCCACUAUACCGCAGUCAUGCAUCUGUAGACAUAUUCAAUGUCGGCAUACGUAUACUACCACGAAUACCAACCCCCAUCGUGCCAUGAUCCAAUCAAGAAACCGAGCGCAAGCUCUGAUAACCAAUGUGGAGUGCAGAAGCGUUUAAAAAAAACGAAAAGAAAAAUAAAAAUAAAAGGACUAAACGAUCUCGAAUUGUGGAUUCUGCAAAUGCCGAGAAAACGAAAUUCCUUCUCUAAACUUCGUUGUUACACAGAAUACGAGAAUAAAGGCUUCUCUAAAUACGUUGAUUUACACGAAUACCGGGAAUAAAGGCAGCAAAUUCUUUUGUGAUUACGAAAAAUGCCAAACAAAGACUUUAGGAGAAGAAAAAGAGAACCAUCUGCUUUAACACUCAAUUUUUUUUAUUCCUCAAAAACUCCCCUCAGGAUGAAGAUCUUUUAUAUUAUUUAUAAUUAGACUUUCAAAAUUAAAAAAAAAAAAAAACUUAGAAACUAAAUCUACAAAAUUCUAAACCAACUAAAAUACCAAAAAUAAAAAAUACUACUAAAAAGUAAUACAUCCUAAUUUAAAGAAAAAAUAGAAUUCUAAUACUAAAAUGAAACUAAAUUAUCAAAUAUAAAUAAUUAAUAAAUAAUUAAAUAUAUUUAAUUUCUGGACUUCUUCCCCGUCUGUUUGAAAAAAAACUCGUCCCGAGUGUUCAUUGCUUAAAAUCAUUUGACGCUCUGUGCCUGUCUGCGGCACUUAUUUUAGAUUAAUUUUUUCAAAUUUCCUCUCUCCGAAACUUCAAAUUAAGAAUCCAAAAAAAAUCACACGCAAUUAAUUUCUUGCUUUAGACACCAAACCCAAGUCCUCGCACUUUUGAAGUCAUGAAAAAAUUUCAUAAGCGGAAUCCACCAUAGCUUUGAUAUUGACCCAAAAUCCACUUUGAUCAAAAUCACCUUUUAAGGGCUUUUUUUCUUUAUUGUUAAACGUAACUUUAGCCUCCUUAGAGCCAUGUCACGAUCGACCCAUGAUAUUUCCAAUACUGAUGAUGGGAAAACACUUCCUGUUGUAAUAUUUUCGUUGCUUGCCAUAUUCAUCUAUCGUAAUUUUUUCAGUUGUUUCUUCGGCGAAGAUUGGUUGUUUAUUCCAAUCCACAUUAAUCUGGAAUAACUUUUGAUGUGAAUGUUCACUCUAUAGCAUCCUCAUGCGUUCGGCACUGUUCCUGUUGGCAUGCGUACCACCCACGAAUACCACAAUCGGUACCAUGAUCAAUCAGGAACCGAUAGCAAGCUCUGAUACCAACUGAUGCGAUCGAACUUGGAGCUCUGAUACCAACUGAUGCAUUUUGCAAUAACGCAUGAAUAAAUAAGACAUAAAAGAAAAAGAUACGAUCUCGAUCCGUUGAUUCUGCGAAUGCCGAAAACGAAAUCCUUCUCUAAAACAAAAUUCUCUAAAAACCGUUGAUUCACACAGAAUUACCGGAAGACAGGAGAUCAAAACCUUGUUGAUUUCUAUAUAUGCCAAAGAAUGUGAAGAAGAAAAAAGAGAAACUCUCUCUUUAAUCAACUCAAUUUUUUUUAUCAUCAAAACUCUCCUUAAAAAAACUAAAAUUACAAUGCUUAUUUUAUAAUAAAAAGGCAACUAAGAAUUCUAAACCUACUAAAUCCUAAAUCACUAGACUACCAAAUAAAAUAUUACUUAAUCUAAUACAAUAUUAUUAAAAAAGAAAAUUAGAAUCCUAAUAUUAAAAGGAAAUUCAUUAAUAAGUACAAUACAUUAAUUGCCAUAAUUAAAUAAAUAAAUUUAAUUCUGCAUCAGAAAUAAUGGUGACUUGAAGCAAAACAAAGGGGAGGUUAGAUCGAGAGACCACAGGAGUGAGAGAGAAGCACUGAGGAGGAAGGAUUUGUUGAACAAACCCCCAAAUUGAUUCUCACUAAGAAUCAAUUUGUGGUGAGUGAAAAUUGCAGAGAAUUGAUACUAUUGCCAUGUUAGACCACAGCGUUUCUUCGACACGUGAGUAAUAAAGGGUUGUCAUAAAUUCUGGACCCAGCUAAGAAAUGAAGAAGCAAAAAACAAACAAACAACCUCCAGGGCACAUCCACAGCAAGCGAUGGGGAGGUAACUGUCCAGAGAGAGAGAGAGACAGGGGUUGUUUAUUUUGUGGGGGAUAGAGAGAAGAUCUAAUUGUUUUGGAUUCUGUAAUCAGUUUUUGUCUUAUUUGAUUUUCUUAUUCAUAACUAAUAUUGAAUACGUAAUAUCGCAAUAAUACAUCAAACUAGACAUUUAAAUAUAUAAAAAAAGUUCUGUGUAUAAAAAAGUUAAAAAAAAAAAUUGGUACACAAAUAGUGUAACGGCUAGAAAUCAUACAGAUGCUUUAAAUAAAGGAGACAGUAAAUUUCAGUUCAGGAGAUACAAGGUUCCGAUCACUCAUGAUGAUAAAAAUUAGACAAAUUAGAUCAAUAUAUCAAACUUUGGUUUCAGUAUAAAUGAACUGGCUUCUUAAAUAAAAUAAACGAUGCUAUUAACAUAACACGAUUGUGACCAUCUCAAAUAAUUAAUUGGUGAUUUUUACGAAUUGUUAUUCCUCGUGAAAAUUGUGCUAAAAACUACUUAAAAGAUGUUAGCGAAGAUUGAACGUGAAAUCGACUAAAUUUUUUCUCUGAUUUUGACAGUUUUUCAAUUUCACUUCAAUCACCCAAUUCAAACACCGCCGUUUAUAUGACUGCGUGGUGGUUGUUGGUGUGAACUGUCCCUCUGAUAUUCCAUUUCCUUUUCUUUCUUGAUACAGUGAGAGUAUAAGCAUCAAUACUGUUUAUUAAUUAAUAAAUUUUAAUGCGAGGUCAUUUGGGAUUUUAUGUGUGGAAUGUGGGUUGUUCCUCCAAGGUUUUUUUAUGUUAUUUUUUUCAUAAAGCAAGAGGGACUACUUCACCAAUUGAAAGUUUUCCAUAAGGCUAUAUACGUUGUUCACCAAAUUUUUUUUUUUUUAAGCUUUUUUUUGUUUAAAAUAAGCAAAAAAAAGUCCCUCAAGAGUUGGCUUUUUUUUAUACUUUUCUAUUUUUUUAUUUUUUAUUUAAGUUUUUAGCUAAGUAAAAUUUACAAAAACAAAAAAAUCAAAAUUUUUUUGCCUUGUUAAUAUAACAUUAACAAAAAAUUAAUUUUUAAACAAUUACAACCAGCCUAUAUCCAUUGGUUCCGGGUGGGGAUUGAAAUUCCUUUGGUUACUUACUGGGAGUUGGUUGGAUUCUUUUUGCUUAUGUUUUUCCACAUGAAGGAGGGAGAGAAGAAGAGAACAGAGACAGAGAUGCAUGACGCAUUGACGUGUCAAAAAAUGGAAUUUUGACAACUCAACUCUCUUAUUGAAACUAGUAAAUUGCCCGUUACCCAUAGGCAUUAUGAUGGCAAAAAAAAAAAAAAUAUUUUCAUCAAUUUUUGAUAAUUUUUUUAAAUAAAAAUAAAAAUAAAAAUAACUUUAAGUACGUUCUUAAUCUAACUAAUCUAAAUGAAUAACUAAUUUAAUCUAAACUACAUAAGAAGCUGUUUUUUUCCACCCCCUCUAUUUGCCCUCCUCUUUUUUUGACUUUUAACUUUUACCCUCAUUCUUUCUUUCUCAAUUACAAUCUUACCAUUCAAUCCUUUUAUUCCUUUUUAAUCCCUAUUUUUUGUUUUAUAACCCCUUGAUUUUUUUUUUAACCCCCCUCACUUCCGAAUUUUUUAUCUAAAAACAAUUAUGAAAAAAUUUAUAAAACCUCUUUAUUUUGCUUUUAAUACCCUUAUUCUUGUUUUUUAUUUUAACUUUCACUUUUAAAUUUUAUAUAAAACAAAUUAUGAUACCAUCUUAUAACUUUUUUUUACUCCCACCUUAAUGUUUUUAUAUACAACAAUAUAUAGAUAAAAUUUUUAUAUUUUUAAAACUUUCGAUGGGUUGAUAGUUAUAUAUAUUGUUUUUAUUUGAGACUUUCUGAAAAUUAAUAAUAAUCUUUUUAGGAAUUUGAUUUAUCAUAAAAUUAUAAGAAAAAUAAUAAGUUUUAACAUAUCAAUACGUAGUAAAUUUUCACAUGACUAAACAUACUUCUAAUCAAUUCCCCUCCAUAAGAAAUUAUAUAUAUUUUUUAUAUAAACAGUCAAAAGUGAAAGUAAAAAAAAUCAAGGGGUAUUACAAAAAAAGACUCAAAUAACAAAUAACAUAUAACUAUCACCCACCUGAAAUUUUAAAAAAAUAUUAAAAAUCUUGAUUUAAUACUUUUGUUCUUUCUUUUAUAAAAUCUAAGGUGAGAGUAAAAAAAAAUUAUAAACGUUUAUUAUAACUUUUUUAUAUAAAAAUUUGAAAGUGAAAGUAAAACAAAUAAACUCAUUAAGGGAUCUUAACGAAAACGACUAAGGAGUUUUUAAACUUUUUCUAUAACCAAUAUUAUAUACAAAUUUUGAACUGAAAGUCUACAACAGAAGAAUCCAGAGUAUUACAAAACCGUCUCCCCCUGGUUGCAGUGCACCGUGCUGGCGGCGACAGUGCGCGUUCUGCUGCGCGAGCCCGUGCCUGUGAUGGCGCCACGCGGUGCACCGGCGGUUUUUGCGCGGGAAAAAAUCAUUUCAAUUGAACUCUUUAGGCGUUGGAAUCAAUAACAUAAUUUAGCCGUAGAUAGCGCGAGAUAUCUUUUGGAUUCAAACUAGUCCGCUUCUAAUAUAGAUAAGAACCGGAUUUAUAAUAAAUGUUUUGUUUAUACAUAUUUUUAAAGAAUAUCCUAUUUUUGUUUAAUAAUGAUUGUACACCUUCAAAAGUGAGUGUGUAUAAAAUACCUCUUUUGGCCGUCUCACAAAUAGUAAGAUCGUCUAAUUAAAUUUUUUUAAAAAACGUGUGAAAAUCAUAAUUUAGCGGGUCCCACUAUUUUAUGAGAAGACAAAAUAGGGUGGUACCGAUACUAUUAUUUUUUUUUUAGGGAGGGGAAAAGAGAAGUUUUGGAUUUAGGCUAUGUUUGGGGAUUUGACUUAAUCAGAGAACAGAAAGAAUUCUCUGGUUUUGAUUAUAUAUAUGGUAUGGGCAGGGAACAUAGAUAAAAAAUCAUCUCAUUGACUUUUCGUUUCUUUUCUUUCAUCUUUUCAUUUUUUUUAAUAACUAAGUGUCCCGAACUUGCUUGUGUGAAUCUCAACUAAUUCUAAAGAGUGAAGUUAACGACGGUAAUUUCAGUAACCCAUGUUUUUACGUUUGCCUUUGUAAGAUUCGAUCUUAUGAACUUUGUGGUAAAUUCCUAAACUGUUCCUCCUUCUCUUACUCUACAAGCUUUAGAUUUUUUAUUUAUUUGUUUAUUUUCCCUUACCCUUUUUUAUUAUUCUCUCUUUUGUUUUCUCUCUGAAACUAAACAAGGAAUAUUUUUUUCUCUUAUUUUCCUUUCCUUUUCUUACAAAUCGAAACAAAGGAACAUAACUAGUACUAGUUUUUAUAAAAAAAAUUCUCAUGUACUUUUCCUUUUCUUCUCUCCCUUUCGCAAGUUUCCCCGAACAUACCCUUAAAUUUGUAACAUAAAAAUGUUAGAAGAGUCAUUUGGGCUGUCGGAUAUCAUCAGGAAUAAGGUUUAGAGGAUAUAACCUUAAGAGGACUUUUAAAUUUGUUUGAAUACUAUUUAGAAUGAUGGCUACGAUGGGGAUCUGGAAGGAACAUAUAAACGAGAAACACAACUAUAAAAAUUACUAUUACAAAACGAUCCUACAUAUAUAAAUCUAUAUAGAUCUAUUCAUCUAUGAAUAUCUUUAUAUAAUAUAUUUAUAUAGGUAUAGUAUAGGUCUUAUCUAAUUUUUACCUAUCUAGAUUUUGCACACAUUUUAUUUCUUUAUAUACUCUUUUCUCUUCCUUAUCCCGCCCCCUUCUCCCUUCCAAGAUAACUUUUAAAAAAGGUGAGGGCCACAACAUAAUUAUCUAUCCUAUCUCUCCCUUAAGGGAAAAGUUAUCCGGGUAGAAUUUUUCUAAUAAACGGACAAUUUUUAAAACCUUCAAAUGCCGAAUAAAAAAAGUUAUCCGGUGGAAAGUUAUCCGCCCCUCUUAUUCCCUCAUCAAACAUGCCCUUAGGGCUCGUUUGGACUGGAGGAUUGGAGGGGGUAAUUUUUUAGAGGGGGAUAAUUUUUAAAGGGAUAACUUUUUAAGGGGAUAACUUUUAACUUUGUUUAAUACUUUUUAGAAUGGGUGGAUAAGGGCGUGAAAUAAAGGAGUACAAUUAUUAUAAAAGAAACAAAAUACAAUAUCUUGAUAUAAAAAUAUAUAUUUAUUUUUCUCCUCUCUAUAUAAAAAAAUUAUACAAUUUUGUUUCUCUUUAUUAUAUUUUUUUUUCUUAUCUCCCCACCCCUUAUCCCGAUAAACUUUUAUUAGUGUCUAGGCCACCCAAAAAAUUAUCCGCCUCUAUCCACCUACUGGGGAAAAGUUAAUCUGGGGAAAAAGUUAUCCGCCUCCAUAAUCCAUACUACAUAACGCCGGGGAGAAAAAAUUAUCACGGGAACUAAAAGUUAUCCCCCUCUAAUUCCCAGCCAAAAUGCCCUUAGAGUAAGAGCACCAAUUAAUCCAUAAUAGGUCACAUUAUGCAACUAACGAGCACUUUAAAAAGCUAUGAAUUAUGGCAACCAUUAGCCAAUCAAUACUAAUAAUAAUUGCUCAUUUGAAUAAGUCAGCCAUUCUUCAGGUUUCCCUAUUUGAAAUGGUCAUCGUGGGUGUGUGCCCUGAAUUCUAGUUGAAGUUCCCUCUUCUGGUCUUGAAAGACAAACUGCCCUUUGCAUUUAUAUAUUGCAAUUAUAGUACACUUUCAUGAGGAUAAACAUUGGUCUUUUUGACCAAAAAAUUCCAUCUUAAAUAUAGAAAUAGGGUUUGUUAAACAAUAUGGUCCCCAUUAUACCUUCCAAAAACCAUUACCUCUUCAAAUUAAUUGGAUUUAAUAGUUUGUUCCCCAUUAGAUCACCUAAACAAUCACCUAAACCAGCCUGCAAUGGACUCAUCUUUAUAAGGUCUUCCUCGUUACCAUUAAAAAAAGUGUUUUCUUUUUUUCUGCUAAUAAAAAGGAGUAGAGGAAACAAUCAGCUGACUUUUUUCUGAGUUUCACAUAAUAACCAUUACAGGUAUUAGAGAUACAUUAUAAAUCCAAUUGCUAUGAUUACGUCUCACCGACACACCGAAACACUAGUCUACACCGAGACACUAGCCCCUCAUUACCAUUAAUUAAGCUUGCUUAUUAUUGAUCAAAUGAAGUACAAAUUUUGUCAAUAUUUUUCCCAAUCUCGCCUUCAAAGUCACAAAGCUGACUUGUUCUUGCUUCCAAGGUUGGAUUGAGGAUGUAUUUGAGAUCAAUUAAUAAUUACUAUCUUGGAUUUAUUUAAUUAUUUAAUUAUCACUUUCUCAAUUUAUCAAACCAUGUAAAGAAAAGCAUUCACGUGUAUGUUUGGUGCUGAAAUAAGAAAUGCCCUCUUCUCCCUCUCCCUCUCUCCCUCUAGGGGAUGGAUCUCUCACAACCUCUUCUUUUCAUCAUAUUGAUUUCCUCGUUGGUCACAAAGUAGUUGACAACCCUCCAGAGAGAGAGAGAAUAUCAAUGCUUAUGUACUCGGAUACAAUAAAACUUAGAAGCCCCACAAAAUAAUUUUCCACAUGGAUUCUAUCUCCAACUACCUUCUUUUAGAAAGUUAAUUAAUGUGUGAGCCCUUAAGAAAAGUAUGAACCCCAACCCAUUGUAUUUUUGAUAGGCCCGUUGCCAACCCUAAAAAUCAUUUUUGGUGAUUAUUUUAAUAACAAAAUUUAUUUUUGUGUAAAAAAAAUUAUUUGUCUUUAGUUAACUCGUUUUUUUAAUUAUGUAAAAUUUUACCUCUUCAGACAUUCCUCUCGUCAAAAGGUAAUCAAAAAGUAUAAAAUUUGAUAAUGAUAAAAAAAAUUCAUUGAAACGAAUAACUUAAACCUAAAGUAGUUAUAUAAACUCUAAAAAACACUAGCCCCAAGUGGGGGUAUUUAGUACCAAUAUUUCCUAUCUCUCUUUUUAAUUAUGAGACCCCCGCAAGGUUCUAUACACUUUUUGUGAGAAAAAUAAAAGAAAUAUUAUGUUAUCAUUAAUAUUGUUAAAAUAUAGCAUUUUGACACUAUCAUUGCAAAAGCCUAAAUAUAUUAGUAAACUGUUUUUGACCUAUCCAACGAUUGGCAAUGCUCUAUAUCUGGACUAAAACAAUUUAAAAGAAACGAAAACACUAAUUUUUUAAAACUCUAUUUUGAUACUUAUCAUUCCUGUUUAGCUUUUUAUACGGAAGCAGUUACGAAUAAACACCAAACUGUCUCCUUCUCUUCUCUUCUCUCCUAGAAGCUCAACAUCUUACGAAAUACCAAUAAUUACUCAGUUUAAACAAGAAAGGUCACCUAAUCUGGUACAAUGCAAUUAUACUAGGAGCUGUGGACAAAAACAAAAAGGGCUACAAUAGUCUUCCAACCAUGGAAAUAACUACCCCUCAAUUCAUUAUCCAAAAGCUAUAAUUUUUGUUCUUCCACUUAUUUCCCACCCAUCCUCAACUUUUGCUUUGUCCUCCCCUUGUUAAAGCUGAAAAGGUGCCUCUAAAUCAAAAUUCCCAAACCUAACCCCAAGGAACCAAGUUUGUGUUUAUACUUUUUGGUGGUUACCUAAAAGCCUGGCGGCGCUAUCAAAAGCAUGGGCGGACUAUCAAGGAUCAAGUAGGGUCUACUGACGUCAACUGAUUUUUUUUUUUUGGUUGCAGUUUUAUUCUACAAACAAAUUACAUAUUCAUCCCAAUAAAAAAAUACACUAAUUUGACCCUCAUUUGGAUAAAAAAUUACACCAUUAUCCUAAAAUUUUAUAAUUUGGACCCACGGUAACUAAUCUCUUGACUGAUUUGACUCCACUGAACCAAUCUUCCUGGCUCUAACCCUACCCUGCCUAAAACCUACCAAUUAUGUUGGCCUUGUGAGGAAGAUAUUGUAAACACUCACUUGAGAUCUUAGUCCCAUCUUUAAUUAUUACCAACCAUUUCCACGUUAAACCUUUCUCAAACCGUUUCAUCAAUCAUUCUCAAACUAUUUCAUGUAAACCAUUUCAAAAUAAUUUCCCUUAAUCAUUCUCAAAAAUUUUUUUUCACGUAACCCUUCUUUAACCAUUUACUCAAAAAGACUUACUUUGAAUUUGCUCCAGGCCACAUGCAUCACAUAAUAUGCAUUACUAAUUCUAUCAAUUAAAUCAUCAUUGCAACCAUUUAAAUACAUUUAAGUAAAAACUUUAUCCAACUCAUUUCCUAAAAAUAAUUUUCAAUUUCCCAUACCAAAUGUUAAAUUAUCAAAAAUUAAUGCAAUAAUAUAUAUACAACUGUAGUCAUGAUCAAAGUAAAACCAUUUUUUAAAAAAAACAUAAUAAUUUUUUUUUUAACUGUUCCAAAAAGUAAUUUUUAGGUGUCGACACCAAAUGUCACUAUCUAAAAUUCUUUCAAUUCCUACUCAAAAGGUGUCGACACCCAGUGUCAGCACCAAUGUCAGUAACCAAAAUAUGAUUUUACUAUUCAAGGUGUCGACACCAUGUCGACAACCAACGGUUCAGUAUUAAAUUCUAACAUUUGGACUUUCAAGGUGUCGACCAACCUCCUAGGUUUCGACACCAACCCUCAGUGUCUUAUUUCCCUAAUUCUCCUCUCAAAGUGUCGACACCACAUCCUAGGUGUCGACACCAACCACCAAAUUAUCACCAAUCACGAUUUCUCAUUUUAUCUAAAUCAAGUUUUUCAUUUAGGGUUCUAUACCCAAAAUUUAUCUCAAUAUACUUUUAUAAGCCCUUAACAACAAUCUCAAAGUAAAACCAAACACCACAUGAACACCCCUUUACCUCAAAUUCAAAGCUUGUCCAAAAAUUAAAGAUGAUGAGAUAAAACCUCAAUCGUCAAUUAUACUAGAAGCAUGUUGACAAAACAAAAAGGGCUACAAUGUACUUCCAACCAAGGUGAAAAAUAAGCUCUUAACCCCUCAAGCAUUAAUAGCAAAGCUAAUAUUUUUUGUUCUCCACUUAGUUUCCCACCCUCCCCUCAACUUUGGUUGCUUUGUCUCCUCCCUUGUUAACGACUGAAAAAUGUGCCUCUAAUCAAAUUCCCAACCUAACUCCCAAGAACCAAGUUUGUUUUAGACUUUUUGGGGUGACCUAAAGCAUGGAUGGAGCUAUCAAGGAGCAAGUGGGUCAAUUGACCCCACUGAAUUUUUAAUUAAUUUUUUUUUUGCAUUUUUAGUCUACAAAAUAUUAACACAUCACCGCAAUAGAAAAAAUACCUAAUUUGGACUCAUUGGUAAAAAAUUGACACCAUUAUCCUAACAUUUUUAAUUUGGACCCCCUGAACUAAUCUCUUGACUGAUUUUGACCCUACUGACCAACUAUUCUGCUCUACCCCUGCCUAAAACCUGCAAAUUAUGUUGGCCAAUUGUGAGGAAUUAUUGUAACACUUUGAUCUUAGGUCCUCUUUAAUCCCAACUCUUUAUUUCAUCAGGAUAAAAAGUUCAUGGAAUUUGUAAUAUUGUAACAGGGCCAAGUGAAACUUUGGCUAAAGCACUACAAGAUUCAUUGUUAAACUUUAACGCCUUUUUUCACAAAUAAAAUUACCUAGAUACUCCCUAAAACCACUUUAGCCAACUUUUUAACGAAAUUGGGGGAGCAUGUUGAGAUUUAUCCAUCAAUGUGGAAUUGGUACUGUGAUGUAUGGGACCCUUGAUUCCCCCCCCCCCAAAGACAUUAAUAAGCCCACCCUAUCAAUGAAGUUCAAUGGAGGACCCUUGAAACCAUGGUCCCAUGAAUCGUACAUUGGGACUAAAGCCCUUACUCUAUGAUGCUUAAAUUAAGUCGGUCUUGAACAGCCGUUGCAAUAAGAUAGUCGUUGCAGUGCAGACAUUGAUUUCAUCCAAAUGUUGAUUCCCACACACUUUCCUCUCUAAGAUUCAUGCACAACAUCAGAAAUGGGCAAAUACUAACUUGCCCAUGACAAUAAAGAUAAAAAAUAAAUACUUUGACUGUCUGGAGAAAAAAUUGAAAAAAUUAACUGGUUGAUUGUUUGUGUUUUGUUAAGUCUGUACCUAAGAAAUGAAAUCAACUCAAUGAUUUUGUUCAAACCUCUAGUUGACUUGGUCUUGACCUAGGUUUUUUUUUUUUAGCUUACAUGCACUGGUUUGUAAUUAACCGACAUGUUCUUGAUUUUCCCACCCACUUUUUUGGAUGAUUCCAUUCAUUUUUAUUUCGAUUUUAUGAAAUCUUGUUUCAUUCAAUUUUUUAUAUGCAUCAUUAGGGACGGAAUUUAGUAUUUUAGUUCAAUGGGUUAAAAUUAAUCAAAUUUAUGUCUAGCAAAAGGGUUAAAAUAAAAUUUCAGAAUUUAUGUUUAAGCUGAGGCAAUAAGCCGGAUUGAAUUAAAAAUUUAUAAAAAUGAGGCAAAUACUAUUUUUUUAGAAGUCUAAACAUUUUUUUUGUCAGUUUAGUUACAACCGACGAGGUCACAAUUGUUAGAACUUAGAUCCAAAGUUCAUCGGUGGGUCAAAAUUUUAUAUAGUUUAGGACAACUUUACUAAUUUUUUUAUAUGAUCAAAAUUACAUUUUGAUAAAUUAAAUAUUAAAAAUAAGAGUGUAAUUUUUUUAAAUAAGGUCAAAUGACCCCACUUGUCUAAUAGGAUGGCACCGUCUAAUUGGGCAUCAUCCUGCCCCUCACGGCUUUUAACUAUUUAAUGGAAAUGACCAAUCGUACAUUCAAAAUUGAAUCUGGAAAGUAAACCAAAAAAAAAAAAAAAUUUUAAAUUGUAAUCCGUUAGUUUUAGUAGAUUAUGUCAUAACCCUGUGGGAAUUUGUCGUCUAUUUUAAAUUAAAUAAUUCUAUUCUACAAUUGUGGUUUAAUUAGUAAGUACACAAUCGACAACAAUAUCAUUGUUGAAAACUUAUAAAUCCUUCGAUUGUGGUUAAUAAUGUUAAUAACUUAUGCAACAACCCCUUUCUAGAAAUUAGUAGUUCUUUCUGAAAACAAAUAAAAAGAAAGAUGAUUCAUACACAACAUAGCUCUUGAGAUACCAACUCUGUUGUUUUGAGCGCAAUCUAUAAUAUCAAAUCAAAACAAACAAAAAACUCAUUUUUGAAUAUCCAAUCAAAUUUAAUUUCCCCCGUCCGCGCAUCUUACUCAUACACGGUUGAAAGUUAUUUGAGUUAAUUAAUAAUCAUAAUCAAUCCAGGACGAACUAGAAGAACUGAAUUUCGCCUGAGACUAUUUUUAAACCUAUUAGAUAAAGAAUCAUUUUUUAUUUAGGACUCUCUACUCUCACACUAAAAAAAAAAUUUCGGAAAAAACAUCAACCCAAACAAUCCUUGUCUUUCAUUCCUCAUCAAUGUUCGCCUUUCGUCCAAACUAGCACAAAAACAAAUUUCAUUCAAAAACCAACUAGCACAAACAAAUUUCAAAAAAUCAUAUAAUUUUCUAUUUGUUCUUUGUUCUCCAUUUUGUUGUAAUGUAUCUCUCUUCGUAUAUGCAUGUAUUAUCUUUUAUCGACGUUUAUUAUCUUAAUAUCAUCUUUUUUUUUUUUUUUUUUUUUAGAUUUAUAAAACUCUAAACGAGUACACUUAAAGAGAUGAUAUUUUUUUUCUUUCACACACAAGGACAAAAAUAGUAACCCCCACAUGGACAAAGUACCCCAACCGCAACCACAGAGCAUCGGGACCGCCCAGGGGCUGUUUAAUUGUUCUACCUAGACCACCCCACUGUGGAUACCCGAGGGGAUCAAGCGAGAGGAAAGUGGUAUCAUACAACGAAGGACACCGAAAAGUUUGAGAUACUCCGGCGAAAGACAAUUCCAUUACCUAACUAUUUUUAAAUAAAUUUUCCCAUAAAAACUUUUCACAUUUUUAAUAAUAACAAAUCAACAAACCACCACCAACCAACACAAAUAAAAAAAAAAAAUCCAACCAUGGUAAAAUGCAAAAUGUUAAUUCAUAUGUUUUUUUUUAUUAAAAUUUCUUUGUUUAUUUUUUUUUAUUUUAAUUUCUAUUCUUUUGAAAAAAUGAAAUAUUGACACAGUUUCAAACAAUUUGACUCCCUUGUAUAUGUUCAUGAACUUUGAUUAUACUUUUGUCUUGAAGAAACACUAGAAUUUUGUUCUUUUCUCCUUUUCGGAUUUGAUUCUGCUUUUUUCUCUUUGCCUCGAUUGAAAUAAUAAAACAAAUAUCACUAAAAACAUCAAUAGCCAGGGGGAUCAUUAUACGCAAGCGAAAACAGGUUUGCAAAGGGGGACACGAAAACAAAAAAAAACGGGCACGAACGCAGAAACUAUCCAUGUAACAAAAUAGUAACUAAAGUUGGAAUUUGCGGCUCGUACCAUAUCGGGGGUAGUGGGGGGAAAGGGGAAGGGGCCGAAAUAGAGGGGGAAAGCCAAGGGGGGAAAAAGCCCCAAGAGAGCGGGUGGGGACAGCGAGACCGGGGACCGGGGGUAUCUGAAGAUCAGGGAAGAAGAAAGGUCCAUUAGUUAUUUUGUGACAAAACACAAAAGAGCAAAGCACCCAGGAAACGAUGAUUCCUAAGUACAAUCAAACCCCCCCAUCGCCUUCUGAUAACACUCUGUUGUUUUGAGCGAAUCUAUAAAUAAAACACAACUGAUUUUGAUCCAAAUUUAUCUCCUCCCGCAUUUAACGAUUGAAAUCUAAUUUGAGUUAAUCCAACGACUGAAAUUUCAUCCACCUGAGACUUAUUUUUUUUGCUCACUCGAACUUUGGGGUUAAUUUUUAUUUUUUUUCGCAAAAACAAAAGAUCAAUUUUAUUUUUUAAUCAAAGUGUGAACCCACAUAUGUCUUAUCAAAAUGAAUACAAAAUUAUAAACUGCGGGGAAUUAAUAAUCUCUCUGGGCAUGGAUAUUUGCCAAGUUGGAUCAUUUUUUAGUAGAUUCACACCCAAAAAAUUAAAACACCUCUUUCUUCUCUUCUCAUUUCUCUCAAAUUAGCAAUAUUUUUUAAAAUCAUUAUACUAUGUUUUUUUUGUAUAAAAAAAUUUAUAAAAAAUCAUAUAUUUUAUAAUUUUUUUUUUUGAAAUAAAAAAUAAAAAACUAAUACACUUUUUUCUCCUCCCCUCCCCCCCUUCUCUCUUUUUUUUUUUCUUUUUUGUUCUUAUUAGAUUAUUUUAUUGUUCCUUUUCGUUCCCUCCCCCCCUCAACACUCCCAUCCCCUCCACCUCUCCCCCCUCUCCUCCCCCCCCCCUCCUCUCCCUCUCCCUCCCCCCUCCUACCCUCCCCCCCCCUCCCACCCUCCCUCCCCCCCCUCCCUCCCUCCCCCCCCCCUCCUCCCCCCAACUCCCCUCCCUUUCUCCCCCUCCCUCCCUCCCCCCAAACCCUCCCCCCCUCUCCCUCACUCCCCCCUCCUCAUCCCCCUCCUCCCCCCCUGCCCUUUUUUUUUUCCCUCCCCUUUUCUCCCCCCUCCCUCCCCCUCCCUCACCUCCUCCCUCCCCCCAUCAAUCACCUUUUUCCUUUUUCCUUUGUUCCCCAUUUGGUAGCAAUAUAUUUCUAUUCUUGCAUGCAAUGUCCAUCUUUUAUUGACUUUAUAUCUGAUCUGUUUUUAUCUGUUUUUUUAAAAAAUUGGUAAAAUUCUAAUGAGUAAACUUAACAAAACCCUGAUUUUUUUUUUUUUUAACGUAAUGCCUUGGGCACGAACAAUUAUUAGUUUGAAUAAAUUGAUUCUACAACAUGUCAAAAUUUUUAUAAUAAAUCGAAUCACCAUGCAAACCAUUUUAAAUUCCCCUACAUUUUUUUUUUUAAUUUCUUUUCUUUGGGAAAAAUGAAUAUUGGACACAAACACCUAGACGAGUUUCAUUUGAAAAGCGGUGUCGAAACACGAGGGGGUGUGACUAGGGCACUAUUCAUUACUUUGAUUAUGAAUUUUUUUGUCUGGACACUAGAAUUUUUCUUUGCCUAAUUGAUUAAAAAAGUCACUAAACACAUAAUUACACAGUUUACCCUACAAUUAGACUUUUACAAUGAACUUAUUGUAUUUUAUGGCGUGGUACCUUCCUCUGUUUUAUUAUUUAAUGAGAGACAAUAUUUGAGUAAAUUUAAUGUUUAGCGUAAAUUUAGCUUCUUGAAGAUUAAACUCAGAGUCCAACUAGAGUCAUUUUUUGGAUAAAAUGACCUAAAUACCCUGUUAUGUAAUUAAACAUUUGUAAGUAAUUUGUUGGAA
rnacentral:lncRNA from 1 species